AGGUUAAAGCCCGGAGCUCAACUCCGGUUCGCCUUGAAAACUACAUAACUAGAAUGCAAGAGAGGUAAAUGGAAUUCCAUGUGUAGCGGUAAAAUGCGUAGAUAUAUGGAAGAACACCUGUGGCGAAAGCGGUUUACCAGCUUGUUAUUGACGCUGAGGCACGAAAGCGUGGGGAGCAAAUAGGAUUAGAUACCCUAGUAGUCCACGCCGUAAACGUUGAGUACUAGGUGUCGGGAAUUAUCUCGGCGCCGCAGCUAACGCAUUAAGUACUCCGCCUGAGUAGUAUGCACGCAAGUGUGAAACUCAAAGGAAUUGACGGGGACCCGCACAAGUGGUGGAGCAUGUGGUUUAAUUCGAAGCAACACGAAGAACCUUACCAGGGCUUGACAUCCAGUGCAAAGGCAUAGAGAUAUGCUGGAGGCUAACAUUGAGACAGGUGGUGCAUGGUUGUCGUCAGUUCGUGCCGUGAGGUGUUUGGUUAAGUCCAGCAACGAACGCAACCCUUGUCAUUAGUUACUAACAUUAAGUUGAGGACUCUAAUGAGACUGCUAGUGUAAGCUAGAGGAAGGUGGGGAUGACGUCAAAUCAUCAUGCCCCUUAUGUCCUGGGCUACACACGUGCUACAAUGGCUGAUACAAAGAGUCGCAAUCUCGUAAGGAGGAGCUAAUCUCAUAAAGUCAGUCUCAGUUCGGAUUGAGGGCUGCAACUCGCCCUCAUGAAGCCGGAAUCACUAGUAAUCGCGAAUCAGACAUGUCG
rnacentral:rRNA from 1 species